rnacentral:rRNA from 1 species
UACGUAGGGAGCAAGCGUUAUCCGGAUUUAUUGGGUGUAAAGGGUGCGUAGACGGAGAAGCAAGUUAGUUGUGAAAUCCCUCGGCUUAACUGAGGAACUGCAACUAAAACUACUUUCCUUGAGUACUGGAGAGGAAAGUGGAAUUCCUAGUGUAGCGGUGAAAUGCGUAGAUAUUAGGAGGAACACCAGUGGCGAAGGCGACUUUCUGGACAGUAACUGACGUUGAGGCACGAAAGUGUGGGGAGCAAACAGG